rnacentral:rRNA from 1 species
UGGGGAAUCUUGGACAAUGGGGGCAACCCUGAUCCAGCCAUGCCGCGUGAGUGAUGAAGGCCUUAGGGUCGUAAAGCUCUUUCGCCUGUGAAGAUAAUGACGGUAGCAGGUAAAGAAACCCCGGCUAACUCCGUGCCAGCAGCCGCGGUAAUACGGAGGGGGUUAGCGUUGUUCGGAAUUACUGGGCGUAAAGCGCACGUAGGCGGACCAGAAAGUUGGGGGUGAAAUCCCGGGGGCUCAACCCCGGAACUGCCUCCAAAACUAUUGGUCUAGAGUUCGAGAGAGGUGAGUGGAAUUCCAAGUGUAGAGGUGAAAUUCGUAGAUAUUUGGAGGAACACCAGUGGCGAAGGCGGCUCACUGGCUCGAUACUGACGCUGAGGUGCGAAAGUGUGGGGAGCAAACAGGAUUAGAUACCCUGGUAGUCCACGCCGUAAAACGAUGAGUGCUAGUCGUCGGCAGGCAUGCCUGUCGGUGACGCAGCUAACGCAUUAA